AGUGGACUUCCCAUACUGGACACAGCCAUUCAUACUGUGGCACCCAGUCACAUAGGUUUCAGCUAUUGGGUGGAUGGCAUUCCACAUAGAGUCACACACACACAAAGGUUAAGGUCACAUACCAUCACUCUACACCGUCUUUCAUAAUGUCAAUUCUGGGGACUAGAAGUCCAACUUCAAAGUGCCAGAAAGAUCGGUUCCUUCUGAGAGCUGUGAGGAAGAAUCUGUCCCAGGUCUCUUCUCUGGCUUCUGGUGGUGUGCUGGCAAUCUUUGGCAUGUAGAAGCUUCUUGGCCACAAGAACAUGCUACCUGCAUCUUCACAA